AGUUUGCAUCGAAAGCCUAAAGCUUACGGUAAGUAAAUCUCCCAAACCAGUUUCAUGGGAAGAACCAGUACUUGGUGUCUUUGGGGAGAAAGAAAGAAAGUUCCCACAGGGGAGUCGAACCCGUGACCACCCAGUCGCUAGACGAACACCAUAUCUACUACGCUUCGGCGACAUUUAAAUGGUGAGAUUAUGUCGAUGGUAAAGUAAGCAUAUGAAUGUGGAUUCAUGAAUGAAUAAGUGAGAUAAUUAUUAAUUGUAAUAUAUAUUAAUAAUAGAUGGUUUUCGAUAUUGGUUUGAAUGAAGAAAAAUGAAGAAAAAAGAGGAUAGAAGAAGAAACGGGUAGAGAAGAAUAAUAAAAAAGUGAUAUUAUUAUGUCGACGGAUUAGUGAGUUCCGGAAUAUGAAUAUUGAUUUAUGGGUAACUGAGGCCUCCAAAGAAAUGUGAUUUUCAAUACCUGUUUAAAUUAAGAUUGGAAAGAAGAAGAGAACAAGAAGGAAAAGUUAAGGUUUAUUUAUAUAGGAAUAUUGCGAAGUAUCUGAUUGGUGAAAAAAAUACUUAUUUCUAAGCAACAUGCAACUUCAUUUGUAUUACCUGGUAAAUAUUGAGCUGCGAAAAUCACGAUAAUCCGCACGUAAAUAGUAAUUGCACAACCGACUCUUCUUCAACUUUUCAUAACCUUAUUCACCGGAAUUAUCUCUGGGCCCCAUCUGGUAGCUGGCAGGGGUAGACGACCCGACACGGUACCCGCAGUUCCCGCCCUCAAAGUCGCAUGCCGCCUGAUCAGAAAAAACAAAGAGAUAUUAAUAUAACAACACCGGACUUACUUGAAGCCCAUCAUCCGACAAACGACGGUCCCUUGCCGCGCGCCAAAUCCGUCGUCGCACACCGCCCGCCACUCGCCCUCGUGGUUCACCUUCCCGACACGAGCUGCCUUUUGACAUGCGAAUAUAUGUUAUAUAAUUUAUAUAAAACAUUAAUACAACUAUUGUCUAAAUAAGCAAUUAACGAUAAAUGAGCUCAAACAUAAAUGAAUAUGUAUAAUUUAAAUCGUUAAAAGAAUUAAAAUCGUUGUUGAAAAAAUAUAUUACAUGAAUAGAAAUUAAAUAAAUACAUAAAUAAAUA